CUUAUUUAUUUCUAUCAUUAAAGGUAUAUGUGAGAGAUUAAUCUUCUUUAAAGGCACAAGUAUUACUUCUUUGUGUGAGUUCUUAUGCUGUCAAUUAGUCUAGUCAUUUCUUGUCCUAUUGAACUUAUUAAUAUCAAAAAAAUUAUUAGCAUUUGUUAAAGAUUUUUAAUCUUUAUUCUCUUCAAGGCUAUACAAUGUUGCUCACUCAAGACUUUUUUGUUUCAAAUCCUUAAGAUCCAUUCUAUCUCUACUAAUUCUAUUUUUAUAAUUGUGAUUGUAUCUAUCUCUCUUUGUCAAAUUAUCAAGGCUAACAAAAAAACCAAUUGUAGGAGUCUUCUUUAAAAUUUUUGUUAUUCCUCCUACCAAUGGUAGUCCCAAGUCUUUUCAAUUAAGAAGGAUGAUUUUUUCUUGUAAGAUCAAUUUUUUUUUUUUGCUUGUUUGUAUAUUUUAUUAGUAGCAUUAUUUAGGAUUGAGUGAUUGUUGGUUCAAUUGGCCAUUGGUAUCAGAUUCCUAAAUAUUUUGAUAUCAUAUUACAAGAUUGACAAACAAUACAUAUAUUAGAUUGGUAGAUUA
rnacentral:lncRNA from 1 species